rnacentral:rRNA from 1 species
GACCAACGCUGGCGGCGUGCUUAACACAUGCAAGUCGAACGGAAAGGCCCCUUUGGGGGUACUCGAGUGGCGAACGGGUGAGUAACACGUGAGUAACCUGCCCUUGACUUCGGGAUAACUUCAGGAAACUGGGGCUAAUACCGGAUAGGAAUCCUUGCUGCAUGGUGGGGGUUGGAAAGCUUCGGCGGUUUUGGAUGGACUCGCGGCUUAUCAGCUUGUUGGUGGGGUAGUGGCUUACCAAGGCUUUGACGGGUAGCCGGCCUGAGAGGGCGACCUGCCACAUUGGGACUGAGAUACGGCCCAGACUCCUACGGGAGGCAGCAGUGGGGAAUAUUGCACAAUGGGCGGAAGCCUGAUGCAGCAACGCCGCGUGCGGGAUGACGGCCUUCGGGUUGUAAACCGCUUUCAGCAGGGGCGAAGCUUGUGGUGACGGUACCUGCAGAAGAAGCACCGGCUAACUACGUG